AGUGCUGCGUGACUUGUGCACUGUGUUCAACCAUUCAGUCAAUAAUAACUGCUGCUGUGCAGAGAACAGUUCUCACACUGAAUGUUGAACAUCAGCCACUUUGUCCUGUUGAUUUCAACCUUGUCGUACAGAUGGAACAUUGGCUGUGGAUUCUUCUCACUGCUCUGGGCUUUGGUUCAAUAUCUGUGAACAGUAUCCGACCACGGGAAGUUGAAGUCAGUGAAACAGAAGGAAAAUCUGUUACAUUGACCUGCGACACUGAGAACUCUGCCUCCAACAUUUACCUUCACUGGUACAGGCAGCAUUCUGACCUUCAGCCUCCUCAGUUCAUCCUCUGGAAAAAAGCACAGAAUUCCCCAUCUCAGUAUAUCCCUGAUGGCCGAUUUACAUCUGAAACACCAGACCAGACCACACAGCUGACCAUCAAAGACCUAAACCUGGCAGACACAGCUCUGUACUACUGUGCUCUAGAAACACAGUGAUCCAAAGUGGAGAAGAGGCUGUACAAAAACCUGAACACACAGAUCUGACUACUCUGCACAGAGGAGGGAAGUGGGAUUGAAACCACAGCUUCAUAUCAGAUGGAUUCUGCUCAUUCCUGUUUGAUCACAGUCACUGUG